rnacentral:rRNA from 1 species
AAUCAACGCUGGCGGCGUGCCUCAGACAUGCAAGUCGAACGAUUAAAGCUCUCUUCGGAGAGUGCAUAGAGUGGCGCACGGGUGAGUAACACGUAAGUAAUCUACCUUCGAGUGGGGAAUAACGUCCGGAAACGGACGCUAAUACCGCAUAAUGCAGCGGCAUCGCAAGAUGACAGUUGUUUAAAGGAGCAAUUCGCUUGAAGAGGAGCUUGCGGCGAGA